GCCCCUGAGGACUAAUGGAUAAGACAUCGGUCCUCUAAACCGGGGCCUCUGGGUUCGAAACCCACCAGGGGUA